CACGCCAUAAACGAUGGGUACUAGGUGUGGGUAGUUCACUCUAUCCGUGCCGCAGCAAACGCAAUAAGUACCCCGCCUGGGGAGUACGGCCGCAAGGCUAAAACUCAAAGGAAUUGACGGGGGCCCGCACAAGCAGCGGAGCAUGUGGUUUAAUUCGAAGCAACGCGAAGAACCUUACCAGGGCUUGACAUCCACAGAAUGCAUUAGAGAUAGUGCAGUGCCCUUUUAGGGAACUGUGAGACAGGUGG
rnacentral:rRNA from 1 species